AGAGAGAGACAUGCGCGCAUAUCAAUAAGCGGAGGAAAAGAAACUAACUAGGAUUCCCUCAGUAACGGCGAGUGAAGCGGGAAGAGCUCAAAUUUGAAAUCUUCAAGGUUCUACCUUGACGAAUUGUAGUUUAAAGAAGUGUUUUCUGUUGGAGUUUUGGUAAAAGUUCUUUGGAAUAGGACAUCAUAGAGGGUGAGAAUCCCGUAUUUGACCAUUAUUUCCAGCUUUGUGAUACACUUUCAAAGAGUCGGAUUGUUUGGGAAUGCAGUCCAAAAUGGGUGGUAAAUUUCAUCUAAAGCUAAAUAUUGGCGAGAGACCGAUAGCGAACAAGUACCGUGAGGGAAAGAUGAAAAGAACUUUGAAAAGAGAGUUAAACAGUACGUGAAAUUGUCAAAAGGGAAGCGUUUGACACCAGUGUUGUUUUCUCGAAAAUCAAUUAAAAAGAGUUAGGAUUUUGUUGUGUAUUGACCUUAUCAGCUUUGCAUUUCAUUUUCUUGUCUUUUUUAAUGCACUUUUCGUUUAACAAGUCAACAUCAGUUUCUUUUGUUGUAAAAAGGUCAUUGGAAGGUGGCUUUCUUUUCGGAGAAAGUGUUUAUAGCCUUUGGCCUCUGCAAUCGGAGAGAUUGAGGUCUGCAGCGUAGAUCCUUCGGGGUUAGAUACAUUUGUGCUAAGUUAUAGCCUUUCAUAGACAACUUGUUGUACUAUGAUCAGUCAUGUAGCUUACUCGCUUAUGCUAUUUUACCUACGCUUAGGAUGUUGAUGUGAUACUGCGAGCA
rnacentral:rRNA from 1 species